GGGGUUGUGGCUCAGAGGUGGAGCACUCAUCUAGCACAUGUGAAGCCCUGGGUUCAAUCCUCAGCACCACA
rnacentral:tRNA from 1 species